rnacentral:rRNA from 1 species
AGUGAACGCUGGCGGUAGGCCUAACACAUGCAAGUCGAACGGCAGCACAGUAAGAGCUUGCUCUUACGGGUGGCGAGUGGCGGACGGGUGAGGAAUACAUCGGAAUCUACUUUUUCGUGGGGGAUAACGUAGGGAAACUUACGCUAAUACCGCAUACGACCUACGGGUGAAAGCAGGGGAUCUUCGGACCUUGCGCGAUUGAAUGAGCCGAUGUCGGAUUAGCUAGUUGGCGGGGUAAAGGCCCACCAAGGCGACGAUCCGUAGCUGGUCUGAGAGGAUGAUCAGCCACACUGGAACUGGGACACGGUCCAGACUCCUACGGGAGGCAGCAGUGGGGAAUAGUGGACAAUGGGCGCAAGCCUGAUCCAGCCAGACCGCGUGGGUGAAGAAGGCCUUCGGGUUGUAAAGCCCUUUUGUUGGGAAAGAAAAGCAGCAGGUUAAUACCCCGCUGUUCUGACGGUACCCAAAGAAUAAGCACCGGCUAACUUCGUG